AUGCUUUUAAAAUCGCUUAUUGAAGCUGAUGCUCUCUUCUCAUUAAGGAAUAGAAUGGUCCUUCCCAAUCCCCUUAACCCUAGCGCUUCACCAUACGUUGCAACACCAACACCCAACGAAAUCAAAGUUCUUUCACGGUGGAUGGCUUGUUCGACGGAGCAGUCCGGUCAGUUGGAAGUGGCGUGCGGUGAGUGGAGGCUUUGCGGUUACUUCUGGAACGUGGUGGGCAGCUUCAUAGACGGAGGUCCGGUGGGUAUUCGCGGCGGUAUGAGUAACGUCUGA